rnacentral:piRNA from 1 species
AGUAAGUGAAGAUAAAGUGUGUCUGAGG